UUAUUGCAAAUGAGGAACAAUAUAUCAAAUGGGUAAUUUGCAUCUGAUUCUGAUUCUUCACUGAUGUUAACACCUUGGAAAUGUCAUGCCUAUU